ensembl:lncRNA LINC02112 long intergenic non-protein coding RNA 2112
CUAUGAAGCACCACUGCCCUGUAGACCUGGGAUAAUAAACACUGAUGCCUAAAGGGACCAGGCAGGUCUUGUCCCAUCUGUUCCAAGCUAUUUGUCCAUGUAAAACUGUCAACGUUCCAAGCCACUGACUGACAGGGUAAGAAGAGUGAGUCUCAAGAGAGUGAGGAACGGUGAAUCUUUGGCAGACUCUGUGUGUGCCCAUGGAAGAGACAGUGACAGAAAUUAUGUAAUGAAAA